rnacentral:rRNA from 1 species
UACGAAGGGGGCUAGCGUUGCUCGGAAUGACUGGGCGUAAAGGGCGCGUAGGCGGCAUACUCAGUUAGGCGUGAAAUUCCUGGGCUCAACCUGGGGACUGCGCUUAAUACAGGUAGGCUAGAGUGUGAAAGAGGGUCGUGGAAUUUCCAGUGUAGAGGUGAAAUUCGUAGAUAUUGGAAAGAACACCGGUGGCGAAGGCGGCGACCUGGUUCAUUACUGACGCUGAGGCGCGAAAGCGUGGGGAGCAAACAGG